GAAAACAGGCUAAAUAAGUACUUACAAGGGGUAUAGACCUGUAACUUCAAAUAAGAAUAGCUAAUUGCUAUAUGUAUAGCUAAAGCAUAAUAAAUAGCAACUACACGAACAUUCAGAAAGAAUCCAAGAGUGAAUACACAUCUGGUGUUAUAAUGAUACGCUUAGUGAGCUCCCCAAUGUUAGAGCAAUACUUCUCUUCUGUAUUAACCGCAACAACAUCCUGGGCAAACGAGCAAUCCAUACCCGGAGAAACAUUAAAAAGUGUUUCACCAAGCUUCAGCUUAACAGCACCGCUUUUGUAUACUAACAGUUUACCCAUCAAUCCUGCAGGUAACUCAUUCAAACUGCAGGCCUUAGCCUUUGAAGUCUUCGAGCUGUUUGCCAUCUCACUGCCUUCUGUUUUAAUAGAUUGCUUCAACAUUGGCAUGGUUGGUAAUUGCACCAAGAACAUCUUUUCCUCCAGAUUCUCCUCCAUUAGACCAAGAUCCAUCGCUGGUUUUAUGGAAUUCUCAUCAUAAGUCAAACUUUGGGAAGCUUCCCCAAAUUCUUCCUCAUCAAGAAGUUCUGGAUUUCCUGAAUAGGGCCUCCUCACGGGAAGUGUUACAGGAUAGUUGGUAUAGUAAUCCUGAGAUACACAGUCGGAGACAAUUUCAGGCAGAAGAAAGCUUGCAUGGAAAUUAAGAGGAAAUUCAGCCAAGGAAACUACAAACUUAAUACAAAAGGGCAUUCUUUAGAACCAACCCAUGGCUCGGUGUAUUCCUUCUGCACUCGCUCCCCACUGAUACCA
rnacentral:misc_RNA from 1 species